CAAGACAUUUUUGAGCUUCUUUCAAAGGUUCACUAGUAGCAACUAAGUUCUCCCCAAGAGGAUCCUCAUCAUACUUUACCGGCAUACCGUCCUCAGAUUUUGCACGAGAUUUAUCGGCCUCUUUUAGCUUCUCAGCACGUUCCAAUCGUUUACUAAGGUCCUUCUUCAGCUUCUUGUAUAUCUUCUUUUCCUCUUCUUCAUUUAUUUCUCCACUAGAAAGCUUCUCAAAAUCGGGUAAUUUAGGGCUAUAUUUAGCAAAUGGUAAAUCAAAUAAGGCAAAAUAGAUUUCAAUAGACCCUUGGGCAGCCUCUCUAAACGAAGGAUCGUCAUAAACACUGUCUUCCCAAGACAUUAAGUCCAGGUAUGUACGAAGAGAUCCCUUGCGAAAUGCGAAGAAGUGGAAAUCAAAUUGAUCAUCAGCCCAAGUAUCAAAUAUUUUAAAAACAGUACUAAAACGUUUCAAAGCCAAAGCAAAUUUUUUUUGUCUAGCAAAUGAUUUCCCAUCUUCAAGCAUGUACCACAGGCAUUGCAUAUCUGCAAGAUCGCCAACAGCACCACCAACAGCCUCAUUGCGUGUAAACAACGAUACCGUUUUGGCGGCAAGUUCAUUUUCAUCAUUACGGAGCAUAUAUUUAGCACACUUGCCGUUAAUAAAUCUAUCUUGCAGAUCAAGUUUACGAGCAUGAUCCAUAAUCUCCAUGGCAGUUUGAAGCUCUCCCUUAUGUUUGGAAAUCCUAGCUUUCGUC